rnacentral:misc_RNA from 1 species
GAUGAAGAACGCAGCGAAAUGCGAUAAGUAAUGUGAAUUGCAGAAUUCAGUGAAUCAUCGAAUCUUUGAACGCACAUUGCGCCCGCCAGUAUUCUGGCGGGCAUGCCUGUCUGAGCGUCAUUUCAACCCUCAUGCCCCUAGGGCGUGGUGUUGGGGAUCGGCCAAAGCCCGCGAGGGACGGCCGGCCCCUAAAUCUAGUGGCGGACCCGUCGUGGCCUCCUCUGCGAAGUAGUGAUAUUCCGCAUCGGAGAGCGAUGAGCCCCUGCCGUUAAACCCUCAACUUUCCAAGGUUGACCUCAGAUCAGGUAGGAAUACCCGCUGAACUUAAGCAUAUCAAUAAGCGGAGGA